CCGCCCCGCGUAAGGGAAAGGAGGGGGAGACAGAGAAACUUUAGGAAAGUCUUCCCCGCCGUGCCCCACGCGGGAUGUUUCCCCCCGCGGGAAAGCUUUCACAGAGGAGGAGCGCGGGGAGCUGCUGCCCCGCGGAGCGCGUCCUGAGCGCGUUAAGCAUCGGGUGCUGCUCCCCAAGGCGGGUCGCAAACUUCCAGGGGACCGGAGCGGUGGCAGCGUCCCCAUGUGCGGAGCGGAAAAUAAACACAGAAACGAGAGUCACGUUGCGGUGCGUGGAACAGCCGCCGGUGCGCACACCCUGUGUCCGCCCCGGCGGCCCCGGCCCCCCGUGCAGCACGCCCCAAAUUUCGGGCAACUAAACCCCAUCCCUAGGUCGGCACAGCCGGGGAAAGCGUUGGGAAAACGCUUUGGGGAUAGAAACACAAAAGAGCAUCUUGCCGGCGGGUCCGGGCAGCAACACGGAGCAGAGCCCGCCGGGAGCGUUUUAUCCCGCCGGGAGCGCAGGUUUCCGCGGUGCGGAGCCGGGAGCGCCGCACUUCGGCCCCGGUUCCAGCGGAGGGCGGCCCGGCAGCCGCCGGCUGGGAGGCGAGGCUUCCCUCGGGAAAACUGCUAAGGCUUGCAAGGGAAUAAAUUGAUGCGAGGGAAUAGCGUCCUGCCGAGGGACGGGAGGCGGCGGAGCGCUGCAGGGCGCUCGGCGGCAGGGUGGGCCAGAAGAUUUCUUUGGAGCUCAUGUAAGUGACACUCCAAGGAUUGGCCAGCAGCAGGUUCAGCGGCCCCAGCCCCCGGAGCCAAGGAUGUCAUCCCUGUGACAUGCCUGGAAACCCCAGCUCAUCCCUCAACUGUCCGGUUACAGCAGCAUCUCCAUCAUGUUGCACUUCAAGCCUGUCACUGGCAUGGCUUCACGCUCCUCACCCGGGAACCCUUCCCUGGUUUUUGCUGAGGACUGUGGUUUUAUUUUUAACACAGAGUCCUUCACAUCGGCGGUGGCCCCUACUUCGGAUCAACUCAUUAUCCCGAAUAAACGAUGUGUCAUUCCCAUUAUUUAUGUUUCACUGCAGCCAAAGUAUCUGGACCUCGUUUUGCCAUUAAUAUGAAGAAGGAUUCUUGGACUGAAUUUCUGUCAAGCUGCUCUGGUGAGCUAAAUUAAUAGAAUGGACCUACCAGGUGGAACAAUAAAGCCUGAAAGCAGAACUGAGACCCACCUGAAAACGCCAACAUCUUUACUCAGUAAAAGAAGAGAAAAAAGCAUAGGACUUUGGACACCUUUCUGAAAUGCCAGGGAAAGGUGUGUCUGUGGGCCAGGUGCUUCAGAGGCCAAUAUGUGCUUUGUGCCAUGACACAGAGAGGUGCAGCAGCGUGGAACCCGUGAGGAGAACAAGGUUGGUGCAUCUCAGGUGGGAAUGACAUGCCUUCCUUUACAAAGGAAGGGUGAGAAGUCAAAGGCAAGCAGAAAACUGUGGUGUGACAACGCACCAGAGUCAACAGCUAGAAUUGCUGUCCUGCAGAAAGCCUACACCCACUGGGGAACUGGGGGCUCUGCCUCAGAGGGUUUAUGCUUUCCACAUACUUGAGGGUGGGAUGCAUG